UAUUCACUCCCACACGUCUCAUAUCAAACAAUAUUGAUAUUGCCUUUGUCACACGUUUUUUUGGGUAAAAUAACAAAACAGAAAACAUUGGGAAGAACAAGAUCCGGGGUAGUUAUGGAAAAGCAACGUCGGAGCAUUGCCAUUUAUCACAAAUCGAGUAGACAGAAGCCAUUCACCAUGCUCAACACUUGGGUGAAGUUCGAAUGGAAAUUCUCAGCUGAAGCCAUCCUCUCGUAAUUUACCGAGACGUUUUUUCAGUGAAGCAGAUCUCGAAAUACUUGGAUCUUAGGAAAACUUUGAAAAUUAAAGAGCAGAACAAUGCGAUCAAUUUUCUUCAAAGCCAAGACAAUCCCAGUCAUCACCAACGCAAUGAAUAUGGAUCCGAACGAAAAAUAAUAUUAAACUUUUUUUUAAAAAUAAACACUUAUUUGAAAAUU
ensembl:lincRNA H09G03.5 ncRNA